UGAUUAUAAAUUAAUAUAUAAUUUACCAGAGUACUAUGAACACACAGUUUAAAACUCAAAGGGCUUGGCGGUGCUUUAGACUAUUCAGGGGAACCUGUCUCGUAAUCGAUAGUCCACGAUACACCUAACCUUUUUUAGUUAUCAGUAUGUAUACCGUCGUCGUCAGGUAACUUUUAAAAAUAAAGAAGUUAGCGACAAAAAUUAUGAUAAUUUUGUACGUCAGAUCAAGGUGCAGCUUAUAAAAAGGUGAGGAUGGGUUACAAUUAAGAUUUAUAAUAACGGAAAAAAGCUUGAUAUAGCUUUUAAUG
rnacentral:rRNA from 1 species